rnacentral:rRNA from 1 species
UUAUACAUGCAAGUCGAACGAAGUAGCAAUACUUAGUGGCAGACGGGUGAGUAACAUGUAGGUAUCUUCCCAUUGGUGAGGAAUAACACGAGGAAACUUGUGCUAAUACCUCAUAAGUCUUUACGGAGAAAGCUUUAUGCGCCGAUGGAUGAGCCUGCACUUGAUUAGUUUGUUGGUAGGGUAAUGGCCUACCAAGACUGUGAUCAAUAGCUGAUCUGAGAGGAUGAUCAGCCACAUUGGGACUGAGACACGGCCCAAACUCCUACGGGAGGCAGCAGUAGGGAAUAUUGCACAAUGGAGGAAACUCUGAUGCAGCGAUGCCGCGUGAGUGAAGAAGGCCUUUGGGUUGUAAAGCUCUUUCGUCGGGGAAGAAAAUGACUGUACCCGAAUAAGAAGGUCCGGCU